rnacentral:rRNA from 1 species
GGAGCAUAAUGAGAGUACUUCAGGAAUAAGGGACGGCUAAAUACGUGCCAGCAGCCGCGGUAAUACGUAUGUCUCAAGCGUUACCCGGAAUCACUGGGUGUAAAGGGUUCGUAGGCGGUUUAAUAAGUUGGAUAUGAAAGACCGGGGCUCAACCCCGUGUUGGUGUUCAAAACUGUUAAACUAGAAUUAGGGAGAGGUAAGCGGAAUUCUAAGUGUAGGGGUGCAAUCCGUAGAUACUUAGAGGAACACCAAAAGCGAAGGCAGCUUACUGGAACUAUAUUGACGCUCAUGAACGAAAGCGUGGGUAGCGAAAAGGAUUAGAUACCCUUGUAGUCCACGCCCUAAACGAUGAUAACUAAGUGUUGCGACUAGCUCGCAGUGCUGAAGCUAACGCGUUAAGUUAUCCACCUGAGGAGUACGGUCGCAAGAUUAAAACUCAAAGGAAUAGACGGGGACCCACACAAGCAGUGGAUCACGUGGUUUAAUUCGACAAUAAACGGGGAACCUUACCCAGACUUGACAUCUAUCGAAUCUUUCAGAAAUGAGAGAGUGCCUUUAUUGGAGCGAUAAGACAGGUGCUGCAUGGUUGUCGUCAGCUCGUGCCUUGAGGUGUUCGGUUAAGUCCGUUAACGAGCGCAACCCAUGUCGUUAGUUAUUAUGUCUAACGAGACUGCCUUGGUUAACAAGGAGGAAGGUGUGGAUGACGUCAAAUCAGCAUGGCUUUUACGUCUGGGGCUACACACAUGAUACAAUGGUACGUACAAAGAGCAGCAAUACAGUGAUGUGGAGCUAAUCUUAAAAGCGUAUCUCAGUCCGGAUUGGAGUCUGAAACUCGACUCCAUGAAGUUGGAAUUGCUAGUAAUCGUGAAUCAGAUAUGUCACGGUGAAUAUGUUCCUGGGUCUUGCACACACCGCCCGUC